rnacentral:tmRNA from 1 species
AUAUGUGUCUCGCCGGCCUUCGGGUCGGAUAUGGCGAUAAACGGUCGGUGUAAUAAACCUAUUGGACCCGGGGGCGGUACCCGGCGCCUCCACCAAAAACCGGUCGGUCCUUGAUGACCGGCUUUUGAUGGGGGCGAAAUAGGAUCGACAAGGGUGUAAAGAUCGAACUUUUGCUCGGCAUGAUACCGCCGUUAUCGGGUCACAAGUGUAGUUGCAAACGACAACAACGCUAAGGGUUAUGCUCUCGCUGCCUAAUGGCGGUGCGGGAAAUCCGAACCAAGUCCUCUAGGUUAGCCCCUUGAGGCGGGGUCCGAAGGCACCUGGCAACAGAAGCCUUCACCUUCUC